GGGGGUGACCUGGUUUCGACAGGGAUAAAGGGGAUUGACGAUGCAUGUCGAGAAGAUUACCUACUCGUUAAAAUGGUAAUAACAAAAAUUAAUCGCAGAAUACGAUUACGCAUUAGCUGCUUAGUUCAGCUACGCUCCAGUUUGCUUGGCUGUUUAGCGAAUAUGAGAGUGACAUAAUAAAUAGCUUUGGAUCGUAGAUGUCUAUAAUAUGAUUCAAGACUCAUAGGCUGGCUUUUUUCAAGGUUUGACUGUUUUCCAAAAGAAAAGUAAGAUUAAAAAUAGCUAAACAUGUAGAUUCGGCUUUUGACUUAUCUUUGGACGCGGGUUCGAUUCCCGCCACCUCCACCA
rnacentral:tmRNA from 1 species